rnacentral:tRNA from 1 species
AUCUUUCUAGUAUCAAGCGAGUACAUGUGACUUCCAAUCACUUAGUCUUGGUUAAAGCCCAAGGAAAGAUA